CGCAAAAUGGACGUAGAAAAAUAUAAAAAUGCGUGCUUGGAUAUAACAAUCAUGUCAUCGUACGUAACGUAAUCAGAAAUACUGCCUGUACCUGUUAUGUUCCUUUGAUAUUUCCCAUCGAUCAUUCACCUUGAGCUUGACCUUGGGUGUGUCCUCAACAUAAGUAGUACGACGAUAAUCGUGUCGAACGAGCCCUGACCUAACCUAUUCUAGGCUAUGUCUUGGUUCUUUAUAUACAGACAAAGCCUAGGAGAGGCUAAAUCAAGUUACUCUGUCCUUUAAGAAUGGAUAUCACGUGGUCAUCUUGUAAGUAUCUUACAGCGCGAAUUUGUCUCAUGUAACUUUCCAUGUAUGUUAUAUUUCAGGUGACUGUUUUGUGGAAAUAACCUCUCAGGUAGAAAUGUCCUCGGAAAACUUCAAUGCGAGAACUAGCAGAGACGUGGAGACUUCAACGACCGCACGUGCAAUGUUCGACUAGCACGAUUACAUAAAGUCGAGACUAUCGAAUCGAGGGAGUGAUUAUUUCGUAUUUCCGGUUGUCUCACUUUUUCCUAAGACAUCCAUGCGCUAUGAAGUAAAGCUGUUCCAUCGUUGUAUUCAAGAAUAAAUGAAAUACCGUCCAUGUCGAUGUUUCGUCACGGUUAUAACGUACACGGCCGCUCAACCGGAUCCUGAACGUUCACCAGAGGGAAAACCUUUUUAUUUAUCUGGAAUCGAAGCUGUUUAGUCGUUUCACACCGAAUAAGCUCGUAAAUAUUAACGUAUUGACUCUACUGCACUCGUGGCAGAACUCUUGCACGUCCUAUAUCCACGAAAUCGAACAGAAUUGCUAACAAAUUUCCAUUUAAAUCAACGUCACGCCAAUCAAGAUUCGCAAAUGCAUUGUGUUCGUUGUGAAAUCUUUUCAACCAUCCUGGAUUUUCCCGCGUGUCAUCGCACAUUACACUGGUAUCAGGAGCGUCACAGAUAGGUACGCGAAACGGAAAGGAAAAUAGUCAUCCGUGCGCUGACCGGAAGAAGUUUAUGACGAAGUCGGAAAAGACAACGAAAACUCACGUGUCUCUCGAAAGGUAAAGUGCAAGGAAGCGGCUAACGAAAACGGUGAUUGGUAUACGUGGCACCGGAUUGGCCGCUGGCAUACCUUGACGACACGCACAGUGUGUGCGCACAUCGGCAACCUGUGCACCCACUAACCACUAACCGCUGAACCACGGGAGGCCAAGGUGUGCGCGCGCCAGGAUAAUAUAUGUAUCUACGUGCGUUAACCACGUGAGAGCGACCAGCAUCUUUCCACGGGGCCUCUCUGGUGGGGACUUAACCUAUGGACUGCUCUUUGUCUCUGUC